rnacentral:rRNA from 1 species
GACGAACGCUGGCGGCGUGCCUAAUACAUGCAAGUAGAACGCUGAAGGAGGAGCUUGCUUCUCCGGAUGAGUUGCGAACGGGUGAGUAACGCGUAGGUAACCUGCCUGGUAGCGGGGGAUAACUAUUGGAAACGAUAGCUAAUACCGCAUAAGAGUAGAUGUCGCAUGACAUUUGCUUAAAAGGUGCAACUGCACCACUACCAGAUGGACCUGCGUUGUAUUAGCUAGUUGGUGAGGUAACGGCUCACCAAGGCAACGAUACAUAGCCGACCUGAGAGGGUGAUCGGCCACACUGGGACUGAGACACGGCCCAGACUCCUACGGGAGGCAGCAGUAGGGAAUCUUCGGCAAUGGACGGAAGUCUGACCGAGCAACGCCGCGUGAGUGAAGAAGGUUUUCGGAUCGUAAAGCUCUGUUGUAAGAGAAGAACGAGUGUGAGAGUGGAAAGUUCACACUGUGACGGUAUCUCACCAGAAAGGGACGGCUAACUACGUG